rnacentral:rRNA from 1 species
UACGGGGGGGGGCAAGCGUUGUUCGGAAUUACUGGGCGUAAAGGGCUCGUAGGUGGCCAACUAAGUCAUACGUGAAAUCCCUCGGCUUAACCGGGGAACUGCGUCUGAUACUGGAUGGCUUGAGAUUGGGAGAGGGAUGCGGAAUUCCAGGUGUAGCGGUGAAAUGCGUAGAUAUCUGGAGGAACACCGGUGGCGAAGGCGGCAUCCUGGACCGGCAUUGACGCUGAGGCGCGAAAGCUAGGGGAGCAAACGGG